rnacentral:rRNA from 1 species
GACGAACGCUGGCGGCGUGCUUAACACAUGCAAGUCGAGCGGGAAACUUCGGGUUCCAGCGGUGGACGGGUGAGUAACACGUGGGCAACCUGCCUCACAAUGAGGGAUAGCCUUCCGAAAGGAAGAUUAAUACCUCAUAACACAAGAGAAACACAUGUUUCUCUUGCCAAAGAAUUUCGUUGUGAGAUGGGCCCGCGGCGCAUUAGCUUGUUGGUGAGGUAAAGGCUCACCAAGGCUGCGAUGCGUAGCCGACCUGAGAGGGUGAUCGGCCACAUUGGAACUGAGACACGGUCCAGACUCCUACGGGAGGCAGCAGUGGGGAAUAUUGCACAAUGGAGGAAACUCUGAUGCAGCAACGCCGCGUGAGUGAUGUAGGUCUUCGGAUUGUAAAGCUCUGUCUUCUGGGACGAUAAUGACGGUACCAGAGGAGGAAGCCACGGCUAACUACGUGCCAGCCGCCGCAGUAA